rnacentral:rRNA from 1 species
GAUCAUGGCUCAGGAUGAACGCUAGCUACAGGCUUAAUACAUGCAAGUCGAGGGGCAGCAUGGUCUUAGCUUGCUAAGGCCGAUGGCGACCGGCGCAUGGGUGAGUAACACGUAUCCAACCUGCCGUCUACUCUUGGACAGCCUUCUGAAAGGAAGAUUAAUACAAGAUGGCGUCAUGAGUUCACAUGUUCACAUGAUUAAAGGUAUUCCGGUAGACGAUGGGGA